AAUAAACUGACUUCAGAGUUCCAUGCCAGAAUGAAAUCUAGUUCAACAACGGUGAAGAACUGACCGAAACAUUUGACAAGAACAGAGUCAAGCAACAACAAUUCAUCAUAAUGGAAACUCUUGACAUGUCCUCACCAAAACUGUCUAGGCCCGAGCUGAUAGACUUUGAGGGCAUUUCUAUGAUCCACUACUUCACUGACAACUGGGAAAAUGUGAAGAACUUCCAGGCAAGACCAGAUGACAUUCUGAUCGCCACUUACCCCAAAGCAGGUACCACUUGGGUUUCUUAUAUAUUGGACCUUCUGUAUUUUGGUAAAGAUGCUCCAGAACGGCAGACUUCACAGCCUAUCUACAUGAGGGUGCCAUUCCUGGAGUCCUGCUUUCAAAUUAUGCCAUCAGGGACAGACAAGGCUGAUAAUCUGAAGACUUCUCCCCGCCUCAUCAAAACUCAUUUACCUGUUCAGUUUGUGCCUAAGUCCUUCUGGGAGCAAAACUCAAGGGUGGUGUAUGUAGCCCGUAAUGCAAAAGACAAUGCAGUUUCUUAUUUUCAUUUUGAUCGAAUGAACAUGGUACAGCCUGAACCGGGAGACUGGAACAGCUUUUUAGGGAAAUUUAUGGAAGGCAAAAGAAUCUCAGGCUCUACCCUCCCCUGGUUCAAAUCCUACCUCUCCGACAGAUCCUUCAGGGUGUCAUGGAGGGGCUCGCUGUCCACUGCUCACCACAUGAUCAAUGGGGUCCCUCAGGGGUCGGUGCUUGGACCGCUGCUUUUUUCCAUCUACACGACAUCACUGGGACCCAUCAUACAGGCACAUGGCUUCUCAUAUCACUGUUAUGCAGACGACACCCAGAUCUACAUCUCGUUUCACCCAGAUGAUGCCACUGUAGCAGCUCGGAUUACAGCCUGCCUCGAGGACAUCUCAGCUUGGAUGAAAGGGCAUCACCUCCAGCUGAACCCUGCCAAGACAGAACUACUCGUGUUUCCGGCACACCCUACGGUCCAACACGAUUUCAACAUCCAUCUUGGCAAUACCACAAUCUCUUCACUGGCUACCGGUUUCAGCCCGUAUCAGAUUCAAGUCACUAAUGCUUGCCUACAGGACUAUCACUGGAUCUACACCGGCUUACUUCCACACUCUCCUGCACUCCUACACCCCAUCAAGAUCCCUGCGUUCAGCAAACCAGCGGCGUCUUGUAUUGCCUUCCCAUAAGGGCAGUAACUCCUUUCUGGUGGAACAUUCUUCCUAACUCUGUCCGUUCAACCACAUCUCUCACAACAUUUAAAUAACUACUUCAAACCCAUCUCUUCUGUGAAUACUUGUCAAACAAAUGAAAAAAAAAAAAAAAACACUAACCCUUUCUCUCUACAGGUAGUGGUCUAGCUUUUGUUGAAACCAGUAACUUUGUAUCGGCACCUAAUGUAUUAUGGCUCCUGUAUGAACUAUCACUUAUUGCUCCUAAACUCUUUAUGUGUUUGGUCCGUGGUUUGACCAUGUCAGCGGAUGGUGGGAGAAGAAACAGACAUAUUCUAACUUACAGUACUUGUUCUAUGAGGAUUUGGUUGAAGACACCGGACGUGAGGUG